GAUUAAAAAAUAGAAGUUUAAAAGUGCUUCAUACAACACCCAGGGUUUGCUUAAAAGAUUCUUAAACCAACCUGUCAAUAGAGGUGAGUGAGGCAUUUUACUGCAGAGAAACAUUUGAGAGUGAAACUUAAAAAUCCUAUUUUCAUUGGAUUUUCUAUGAGAAAGAAUAUUGUUAUGUUCUCCUCACCUCUGUGGAUGACUGUUUUAAGUGACAGUCAUUUAAAGCAUUGCGAAUUUAAAUGAGAACUUUUCAAAUUAAAUAAUGACCGCCCUGGUUGGGGGGAUGUCUUGUUUUAUGGUGUAAACUCUCAGUUCUUUACCUUUGCACUUCCACUUAGGUUUAGUUAAAUGUUCAUUAAGUUAACUUUUACUUAUAUUGUCUAUGCUUUGAAUUUAAAUUACAAGGGGAGAAACGUGUUAAAGGUUCUUAAAUGUGUUUUCCAGAACACGUCAGCUCCAAGUCAGGUAGUUAAUUCAAUCUAGUUGUUGGCCAAGGACUGAUUAUUUUAACAUAAGACUUUUCCUGUUCUGGGAGCUUCAGUUCAUUAAAACUCUUUUUUUAAAACUUGAAUGUUUAGAGUUAAGAAGGACCUUUUUUCUCCCCAUGAGUUGUGAAAUGUAGUGCAUGAAGCUGAUGUGGAUAACAAGUUUAUUUUAAGAAUUGUUUAGAAAUGCUGUUGCUUCAGGUUCUGAAAUCACUCAGCACUCCAACUUCUAAUCACAUUUUUUUUUAAGACUUACCAGUGUUUGUCUGUGUUCUCACUAUAAAAAGCACUGGAUCCUUUCCAUCUAGUUGUGCAAAAAAUGAUUACUUGCAAGGUCAAAAUAUAACCAGAUCCAAAUCUGCGCCUCCCCCUUUCCCAAAAUAGUUUUUCGUAUCUACAUGUAGACAUUCCUUUUCUGUUAGAAAGUUCACUUUAAAGAUUUCCCAAGUCACCACCUAUUUUACUACAUUUUAGUCAUGUGAAGAGUCAGGUUGUUCGGUAAUAAGUUGUUCUCUUUAUUCAUAAUAAUUUGGUGUGCUGAUCAAAAGCCUUGUUUUAAUUUUUGAAAAAUGGGUUUCAUAUUUAUAAAGUAAACUCCAGUUUAUUAAUUAACGGCUUUGUAUUGCCUUUCCUGCUAGGUUUGGUUUUCUUGGGGUUUUUCUUUUCCCCCUUUGGUUAAGGGCUAAGAUGGGGUAGGGUGUGUGUGAUGGGUGUAUAUAAUGGGAUUUGGCCCUGCCUAACUCUGAUCUUUUGUUUUUGUGGUUACAUUAUUUAAAUUUUGGUAGGCUUUUUUUUUUUCCUGUUUUCAUUUGAGUGGAUAAAACUGGUAUUUUGAACUCUCUGAAUGGAGACUACCACCGCAGCAUUAGGUGUGUGUAUUGUACUCUUUAGGCCCAAAUCAUUGUUUUAUUUCCUGAUUCCCCAGGGGUUGAGUAUGAGGGGAAAGGGUGGAGGAGUGGGACAAAUGGGGUAGGUUUUUCGCUUCCAUUAGAGAAAUUAAGAAAACAGGAGGGGAUUGUUGACAGAUGUAGUUAUUUUUAGCCAAGUCUGCUUUUAAAAAGAGAGAGCUAUUUCUUUAUCUCUGAAAUAAGAGUAAUAACUGUCUUAUAAAAUCAGGAGAGUUCAGGAAGACCCCGGAUGUCAGAUACUUGCUACAAAUGUUCAUUCCCUUCCCAGCACACUCUCUAACCUUACUUCAGGGGUUUGCCUUGACUCUGGAAAUUUGGGCUAAGACUUAGAUGAUAACUCGUUUGGUGACUCUUACUCAUCUUUUUUUGGCAACUCUCAUAGUUAAGAUGUAAAUUAUAAUAAAUAGGUCAGGUCCUUAAAAAUAUUUAAGUUCCUCUUUUAAAAAUCUUAACUAUUUUUAUCGAAUUCAGUGAGUUUUCCUAAUAGAAACAAUUGGCUUAUUUCUACUUUCAUCAUCAGUGUCAAUUUGACUCUUAACUCACUUAACACAAUGUAAAUUUCACUAGUGGCAUACUAGAAUCCUAGAGUGUCAGAGCUGGAAGUGACCUUAGAGGAGUAUCUGAUUUUUCCCCCUCAUUUUACAGGUGAGACAACUGAGGCUCAAAGGUGAACGAUUUAUUCAAAGCUAUCUAGCUAAUUAGUGGCAGCUCAGACUGACACAUGGUUUGAAGGUGAAAAACUUCAAGUUACCUCUCCUGAGAGGUCUCAGAUGUUUAUUUUUUCAACUAUUCUUUCUUUUAUAACAUAAUAUUCACUACAUAUUAAAUGACACUUUAUGACUAAUACAGUAGGACAAUCUUAAAUACAUAUAUCUUCAAAUUGUACAAUACUACGUUAAUGUUUUGGGUGGUAAGAUUCUAUUUUGAAGACUGAAGUUUGCAGAUAUGCGUAGAAAUUUUUUUUGGCAUUUCCUACGUUCUUAUUGUGUAUCAUUAAUGCAACAUUUAAAAUUACUAUAUAAGUAUAUUUUGUCAUUUUCCCUAUAUUUACUAACAAAUACAUGUUUUUCAAUUUGAUGUAAUAAAGGCUUUAAUGUACUUUUGGUUAGAAGAUUUUGCAUUUUUUUUCAUUACUGUUAAUAUUUAAUCUGACAGAAUGACGGAUUCUUAUGUCAUUGUAUUAGUGCUGUGAAUAAUCGUGAAAUGUUUUCGGAUAGAGUGCUAUAUUUGUGAAUAUAAUUUUAUGACUUUUUUCAUUUAGUAGAAACCUUUCCAUCAAUAUGGAAAACAAAGAAAAUAGCUUUCCACUGUAUAAUCUGGCAGUCAUCAUAGAUUAAAGCUUAUUUUUCUGUGAAUAAAACUUAUUCAAUAAAGUACUAUUCUUUAAAAUGA